UUGCGUGCGAAUGUGUGAGCAUGUGUGAGUUCCUGCGUGUGUGACUACAGGCGUGCAUGUGUGUGUGUGUGUGUGUGUGUGUGCGCGUUGGAAUGGGGGGGGGGGCGGUCCUGGAAAGGCGGAGAGCCUUGGAAUCUGAGGAGUCUGCAGCCCAUUCUUGAUACUGCUUUACUUUCCAAAAAGUUAUGACAACAAAACCACCCUGGGGCCCAGACCUGGAAGCCGUCAGCUAUGGAGGACCCUGGAAGCAGGCAGAGAAAGGUUUGGAGUUUUCAGUGCGAUGACACCAGCGUGCCUGCGGAAGUGGCUGUGUCUCCUCUUGCCUCCUUCCCCACCCAAUUCCGCCCCAGGAGCCCAGGGAUGGAGGCCCAGGAGACGGAUCCCACAAGAGCCAGCACCCACUCCACGCCAGGAGCUCAGCAAACAUCCACAGAGUGAACGUUCCAAGCAACAUAGUCCAGGAGCCACGUUCCAGCCAUGGGGCCUCUGCGCUGCUGUUCUCUUCACAUGGCCUGCCCUUCCCCCAGAAAGAGAGAAGAGGCCCUCUCUGGUUGUCCCAUCAAAACUCCGCCCUUCUCUCACCCCCCUCCCAGCUGUAUCCCUUCUCUGCAGCCCUAACAUGCAUUCCACUUUAUUUGCCUUGUCUACUGUCUGCCUCCCUAACUACUAAGUCAGCUCCAGCGGCUCCAGGAUUUUUGUCUUUUUAGUUUAGCCCUGGUUCCCCAGGGCCUUAGUGACUAGUGUGUAGUGGCUAGCAGCCAGUAGAUGCUCAAUAACUGCUUGCUGAUUGACUGGGGUGAGCUCCCCAUCCAUGGAGCUAUUUCAAGCCAAGCCUAGAUGAUCUUUCAGGGCUAGUUCUAACCUAAGACUUGGUAGUUCCAUGACUCUCUUCCGGGCCCAGACCAAAAAGGAACUUUCAGCAGGAACCCGGGACUGGGAUCUGAGAUGGGGCUCCUUGGAGGACUCUGACUAGGAAGAGAGACGGGAGGCCGCACCAAAAACACAAGCCCUUCAUGGGUCUCCCAGGUGUAGGUCUGGGGAAUCCCCCAGGCCCCUCAGGAUCGACCCUGCUGGCCCUGGAUCUCCAGGACGCGUCCCUCUGACCUGCCUGCCCGGCCUGUGAGUCCCCGGCAGCAACCGCUGCAGACACAGGCUGCCCAGCGCCAGGGCCAGGCCGGAUUAUCAUACAUUAAGACAUAAUUACUCUGCGGAAAUUUACAAUACAAAGCGCCCUCCCCAAGUUGGCUUCAGAAGGAUUCCAAGGAUACAAAGACCUGCUGUGUCUGCCACCGACCCAAGCUGGCCCCAGCCAGAAUUUCAAAAGAAGUGGGUGGGUUAGUUUUUGGAAAAACCCCAUUCUACCCUCCAGGCAGAAGCCCCGCCCCAAAGGUAGAGCCCUCUGAUACCCCCAAGCCCCACCCAGAGGGGAGGGUCCCCUCCACCCCGACCAGCGUUGCUCCUAAACCACUCGGGUUCCCCAAAGCCCAGAAGCUCCAAGCUGACACCACCAAGGUCACCCCACUUCUCCCAAGUUCUCUCUUUUUAGACUAUUUAGGCCUAAGGGCAGAAAGAACCUUAAAUCCCAAGAUGCUAGCUUUUGACCUGCAGAGAGGUGUGGCAGCCCACUGACACUGAUUAAGCGCCUGCUGUGUGCCUGGUACUGUGUCAGCAUCAGGAUGCCUCAGAGAACAAGACAAACCAGAUCGCUGUGCUGGAGGGAGCUUACAGUCCAGUUGAGGAGACGCAGUAAGAUGCUAAAAAAAAAAAAAAAAAAUGCACAUCAGGUGUGCAGGAUGGGUGAGUGACCGGGGUGCACGGUGGCCAGAGAGCCUCAAAGGUGGCAUCUGAGCAGAGGCCUGAAUGAGCAAGAAAGACUAGCCUGUGCAAAGGCCCUGAGGUGGGGCCAUGUGAGGUGAGGGUGAGCGGGGGCAGAGCACAGGAGUGCUGCACAGAAUGCUGGCUUUUACUCUCAAGAGGGUUUCCAGCAGGGAAGCUGCCUGAUUCAGGGGACACUUGGCCUGCUGUUCUGUUAGAUUCCUGCAUCUACCACCUCCUGGCCCUGGGAUGCUAGGCAAGUCAGUUAGCCCUUUAAGCUUUUGUUCCUCCCUGCAAAAUAAAAACAGUAACCACAGCUAACACACACUUGUUGCACAGAACAAGACAGAGAAAAUCGGGAAAGGG